AGAAUCAACGCUGGCGGCGUGCCUAACACAUGCAAGUCGAACGCGAAAGUCCCGCAAGGGGCAAGUAGAGUGGCAAACGGGUGAGUAACACGUGGGUGACCUACCUUCGAGCGGGGGAUAACGUCCCGAAAGGGACGCUAAUACCGCAUGACAUCCUGCCUUUGGAGAGGUGGAGAUCAAAGCUGGGGAUCGCAAGACCUAGCACUCGAAGAGGGGCCCGCGCCUGAUUAGCUAGUUGGUGGGUAACGGCUCACCAAGGCAACGAUCAGUAG
rnacentral:rRNA from 1 species